UACGUAGGGUGCAAGCGUUAAUCGGAAUUACUGGGCGUAAAGCGUGCGCAGGCGGUGAUGUAAGACAGGUGUGAAAUCCCCGGGCUUAACCUGGGAACUGCAUUUGUGACUGCAUCGCUGGAGUGCGGCAGAGGGGGAUGGAAUUCCGCGUGUAGCAGUGAAAUGCGUAGAUAUGCGGAGGAACACCGAUGGCGAAGGCAGCCCCCUGGGUUGACACUGACGCUCAGGCACGAAAGCGUGGGGAGCAAACAGG
rnacentral:rRNA from 1 species